rnacentral:rRNA from 1 species
UACGGAGGGUGCAAGCGUUGUUCGGAAUCACUGGGCGUAAAGGGCGUGUAGGCGGUCCGCUAAGUCUGAUGUGAAAGCCCGAGGCUUACCCUCGGAAGUGCAUUGGAGACUGGCGGACUGGAGUCCCGGAGAGGAGGGUGGAAUUCCUGGUGUAGCGGUGAAAUGCGUAGAUAUCAGGAGGAACACCGGUGGCGAAGGCGGCCCUCUGGACGGUGACUGACGCUGAGACGCGAAAGCCAGGGGAGCGAACGGG